GCGGUACCGGUUCACGUCCGUCGCGAUAGGCAAGCGGCGCGGCGACCCGGCGACC
rnacentral:ncRNA from 1 species